UAAGUACUCCCUCCGUCUCAAAAUUCUUGUCUUAGAUUUGUCUACAUACGGAUGUGUCUAAUACUAAAACGUGACUUGAUACAUCUGUAUCUAGACAAAUUUAAGAUAAGAAUUUUGGGACGGAGGGAGUACUCU
rnacentral:pre_miRNA from 1 species